rnacentral:rRNA from 1 species
GACGAACCGUGCAAACGUUAUUCGGAAUCACUGGGCUUAAAGCGUGCGUAGGCGGCUGAGAAAGUUGGGUGUGAAAUCCCUCGGCUCAACCGAGGAAUUGCGCCUCAAAACUACUUGGCUUGAGGGAGUUAGAGGUGAGCGGAACCUAAUGGUGGAGCGGUGAAAUGCGUAGAUAUGCGGAGGAACACCGAUGGCGAAGGCAAUCCCCCUGGACCUGUACUGACGCUCAUGCACGAAAGCGUGGGGAGCAAACAGGAUAGAA